rnacentral:rRNA from 1 species
UACGUAGGUGACAAGCGUUGUCCGGAUUUACUGGGCGUAAAGAGCGCGCAGGCGGUCGUUCAAGUCGCGUGUGAAAGCCCCCGGCUCAACUGGGGAGGGUCACGCGAUACUGAUCGACUCGAAGGCAGGAGAGGGUAGUGGAAUUCCCGGUGUAGUGGUGAAAUGCGUAGAUAUCGGGAGGAACACCCAGGGGGAAACCAGCCGACUGGGCAAGUGCUGACGCUGAGGUGCGAGAGCGUGGGGAGCGAACCGG